UACGUAGGGUGCAAGCGUUGUCCGGAAUUAUUGGGCGUAAGGAGCUCGUAGGCGGUUCGUCGCGUCGGCUGUGAAAACCCGGAGCUCAACUCCGGGCCUGCAGUCGAUACGGGCGGACUCGAGUUCGGCAGGGGAGACUGGAAUUCCUGGUGUAGCGGUGAAAUGCGCAGAUAUCAGGAGGAACACCGGUGGCGAAAGCGGCUCACUGGACCACAACUGACGCUGAGGCGCGAAAGCUAGGGGAGCAAACAGG
rnacentral:rRNA from 1 species